UACGGGGGGGGUAAGCGUUGUUCGGAAUUACUGGGCGUAAAGGGCGCGUAGGCGGGAUGGCAAGUCGGUCGUGAAAUCCCUCGGCUCAACUGAGGAUCGUCGAUCGAUACUGCCGUUCUUGAGGAUUGCAGAGGAGACUGGAAUUCCCGGUGUAGCGGUGAAAUGUGUAGAGAUCGGGAGAAACACCGGUGGCGAAGGCGGGUCUCUGGGCAAUUCCUGACGCUGAGGCGCGAAAGCGUGGGGAGCAAACGGG
rnacentral:rRNA from 1 species